GGUGCUGCCUUGACGCCGGUUAUCCCAAAGAACACCCCCUUCUCACAUCUCAGCUCUCCGUGCCAGGCUGGAAUUCAAUCUGCCUGGCUUGCUGGGCAGCCCUUCAGAUCUGAGUAGGACUUCGGGCUGCUGCUGUCAAACCCACGGAGAAGAAAAACAAGCCCUGCCUGCCCGGCCCUGGCUGCUGGGCGGCCGAGACCUGCAGCUGCGUAGCCAUCCUGUCGUGAGUGAUGGGCCGUGACCGCUCAGCUGUGCAGGCUCACCACUGAAGAUGCACAUGCAGCCCUUUCUUUUCUUUGCGUGCUUGCAUCUGUUCACUGAGGCAUUCCCCUGGAGCUCAGGGUGGUGCAUUUUUUUUUUUUAGGGGAUUGUCGGUUCCAAGUGCUUCUUGCCGUCUUACAAAGGAAACCUGCUGAAUCAUCAGUGGUGGACAAAUACCGUGGCUGGAGCUGACGUUUGAUGGUGUUCCUGGUGGAGGAGGCCACUGUCCGUUCAACCUUUAGGCCUUCGUGGAGGGGUAAGGGGUCUUAUUAGGAAGGGGAGUAGGUAAGUGGUUGCCUUCUGGGGUCCUCCUAUCAUCCUGCCUUUUUUCCUCCUCCUUCUAGUUAGAGAGAAAAGACCUGAGCUCUUAAAUCAGACAGAUCCAGGUGUGAAAGCUGAUCUUGCCAUUUAGAUGCUGUUCGACAUUGAGAGAGUUACGUAACCUCUCUUUUUUGUCUGCUUUUUUUUUUUAUUUGCCUUUGGAAAUGAAAAUAAUGCUUAAGUCGCAGUGUUGUUGGAAAGAUUGGAUCAGCUCACAGCAUCCACAGGGCUCAGUGACCGUCUCAUUUAGACGUCCUCUUUGAAAACACAAGUGUCCUGUCAAGGAUUCCUACAACGCACUGAGAGCGCAUCAAUGAGCACUUCCCCGUCCCUGAAUGAUAAUUAAAGCAAAGAUUGACAGAAGGAAGUAUCGAGGGGCAAGGGAGAGAGGAUCUCGCAGGAAAUGGGUGAUCGCGCCAAAGACCUUGACUUCCUCACCUCCCAGCUUUGCCUGGGCUCAGGCCUUCAGGGGAAACUACGGUGUAUAGAGAGUUUUCUUUAUCUAAUCCCUUCUAAGGUGGGUACUAGAAACUUUCAGUUUCCGUAUGCAGCCUGCGUUACACUUCUGGACAGUGCUGUCACCGAAUGAGGAUCUCAGAGAUUGUCUAUUGUGACCACCCUGUAGAAACUGGAUGGACCUCAACCCAAAAUUUGGCUCAGAUGUUGAGACUGAUUAUGUCACAUAUCAAGAGGAGAUGAAAAGUGUCUCAUGGAAAGCCACCUUGGAGGACAAGAAGAUUCUUUCUCCAGGAGAUGGUCUUUGUGUUUUGUGGAUCUGCUGGGAAGGAGGAAAUGCUGAAAGCUGGCGGUCAGGUGCUGCCUGGGCCCCCAGGGACUCUGGCUCCUAGAGCAGCCCCAGGCCGACUUGGCUGAUGUUUGCUGACAAGCUGGCUCAGGAAAGUGACUUGAAAAGUAAAUACUAACUCAACACAAAAUGAAAAGGAAACGAAGAGUCUGAAAAAAAACCAAAAACACAAACAAAUCCGUGAGAAGAGAGUGGGCAUUGUGCGCUCCCUCUUUUUGACAUCAAAGUGUCUUUGAAUGGAGCCAGGAAGCUCUCACAUCUUUAAAUCCACGUUUACUUGAGGUUUGAAAACUUCCAAGAGAGGUUAGCAGUCCGGGGACAGAGGGCUCCCACUGCACCACAGGAGCAGAGCUUAAAUGCUUUACAAAGAAAAGGGAACACACUCGUUGGGGUUUGUUUUAAUCCUUCCAGGAGAGUGGUGUGGAGUGUACAGCAUGCAUUUGGAAGCCCGAGUACUUAAACACACAUCUGGGAAGGUUCAGAAUCUUCGCCUGGUUCUCGGUGUCUCUGAAGUGUUAGUAGUCCAGUGUCUUGUUUAUUGUGCCACACAAAAAUAAAUCUGAAUCUGUUUUGAUUUUUCUGAUUCUCUUCCACUCUGGAAGUAGAGCAGCCUUUUUGGUGGAAGUGACUUGCAUAAAGUCUCAAAUAAUUACCAAUUCCAGCUGACACUCGCUGGGACCCUGGAACUCGCUCCAUCUGCUGCCUUCCAGGAAGAACAAAGGAUGGAAGGAGUUGCUGGAGAACCAGAGAAAGAGCGCCUCCUAUAUUAUGGCCAACACAGAGAAUUCCAUAAAGAUUUGCAUGUGGAGUCAGCCCACAAUUGUCUGGCGAAUGGGAGAAGAUAGAUAUGAAAAGGUGAGAUCGACGGGCAGCCAACAAAGGAUGGCUCAGCCCAUCCAAUCAAAAGACGUCAAAGCUAGACCAUGAGGAGGUCGAGGGAACUACUCCAAUAAAAGUUCAUGAAGGCCCUUGUCCAGUUUCCAGACUUGAGCCAGUUUUUGGACAGAACCUGUUGACUGAAGGAAAGGCAGAUUCUCCAGGACGAAGGAACUUGCAACACCACGCAGGUAAAUAUGAUAAUAAUUCCUCGGAUAAUAAUUCCCCAAAGGGCCUCCAAUGGUACUCAGGUAACUGGAUGAAGUUACUCUGGUAACUGCACACCCAAAUAUUUCAAACAGAGUUGGCAGCAGAGUCUCAGUUGACCUUGAUACCCGGGGUCCCUCCCUCUUAGACAGCCUAGGUCCAACAUACAUAGUCCAUUGAGUCCACGGAAGCAUCCAGAGGUCGUUUCCCUGGAACAGACAUACUUGGUAGUUUGUAGAACUGCCGUUUUAUUCCUUGGCUUCUAAGCUAAGGGAUAUUGUGAGGAAAAAGCCAAGUGGAAGCCUUUGGAACUGCUCUCCUCCUAAUGGUCACAUGGGCUAUUACUUUGUUGGCCCUCAAUGAGCCACACCUUCCAAUAGUCACACCUAUGUGUAGUCCCCUCCAGCAUCGACUCUGAGCUUGGGAAAAUGGAUGUGGGCAGGCAUGAUGCAAGCAAAGGCUGAGAAGAGUCUGCACGUGGUGGCUUGUCUUCUUGGAGUGCUUGCUCUGGGGAUCUGUUAGCCAUGGAAAGAAGCUCUAGGUAGCCACAUGAAGAGACGACACGGAAAGAGAGGCCCCAGCCUGCCAGCCCUCCCUGCUAAUGUGCCCACCACAUGAGCGAAGCUGUCUUGGACAUUCCUGCCAUCUGACUGCAUCUGCUUGAGAGACUCCAAGCAAGACCAGCAGAAGAACGAUCCAGUUCAGCCCUGUGAACCCACGCGUUGGUUCUAAGUAAUAAAAUGGUAGCUGUUUUAAUCCCCCACGUUUUGUGGUUAUUUGUUAUUCAGUAACAAGUAG
rnacentral:lncRNA from 1 species